rnacentral:tRNA from 1 species
GUAGCUCAGCACGGUAGAGCGGCGGGCUCCAGACCCGACGGUCGGGGGUUCAAAUCCCCUC